GCUGCCCCCGCUCCCUCUGAGAGGGCGCUGCCCGGCGGCCGCUUCAGUGCGAGUGGACUGUAAAUACACGCUGACUGUGCGAGCGCUCAGGGAACCGCAGCGCUCCGCAGCUGCUUGGGAAAUUUUGUACUGGCGGGCGCGUUACGCAGCAGAGCGUUCCAGAAACUUUGCUUGCCUGCUAAGCUGGGGCGAAAAAGAGGUCGUGGCGUCAAAACAGCCAGAUGGCUACCAAGCUACCAAAUGAAAGAUUUUAUGUUAACUCCCCUAGCUUCUAAGCGAGAGCUUCCCCUCUACUCUUCUCCCACGAGCCUCCCUCUGGAGUACUGCGGCCCGUACUGGAGUUCUCAGAAUGGGAGAGAAAUGAACCUGUCGGAGUGAGUCCCGAGAAGGGCAGCAGAAAUGAUCAGAGGGCUGGAACGCAUCUCCUGUGAGGAAAGCCUGAUGGGAGUUGGUGUUUUGCCUGAAGAAGAGAAGGUUUUUGAUACGUAAAAAGCGGAUUAUGAAAAAAGGGGGUCAAACUCCUUAGCAGGAGAGCUUCUGUAGCAAUGGGAGAAGACGUCAUGGUUUUUAACUACAAGAGGGUAGAUUCAGACUAGGUAUAAAGAAGGAAUUUUUUAUGAUGAGAGGUGAAACACUGAUACGUGUUGCCCAGAGGGGUAGCAGAUACCCCAUCCCUGAAAACAGUCAUGCUCAGGUUGGACAGGGCUCUGAGCUACCUGAUCUGGUUGAAAGAUUGCAGGGAGGGGUGGGAGUAGAUGACCUCUAAAGUUCCCUCCCAAACCAAACUUUUUAAGUGGUUCAAUGGUUCUGUGAUUGUGCUGCCACUUGACAUGAACCUGAAAAAUAAUGGACUCCACUGUGUAUUACAUGGGGCAUCUAGUUUAGUGUGUCACUCUGCCAGUUAAAGGAAGUUACUAAAAGUAGUUACGGCAGUUACUGGUAUAAAAUGAGUUAUAGGUAACAUUACUAGCUUCACCAGAUUCCAGAUAACAUUAUAACUGUUGGUUAUCAUUUACAAUUAUCAUGACAUUGUAAAGCUCAUCAGAGCUUAACUGCUACAAGAUCCUUCUGGUCUGUCUCUAUCACAAAGGAAUUACCCACUGACAUCUCUUUGCAUGGACUGGCUGAGCAGGUUCUACCAACAGAGCCAUUGAAAAACCUGCCGUAUCCUUUUCUGGGUGUGUUAAACUAUCAUUAGACGGUAAAGAAAAAGAAGAGAAACAGCAAAAAUGCAGAAUAAGCAAGAAAAUAUAAAGAGAUCUGAGUUAAUUUGCUUCCUGUAAACAUGCCAUUCUAGCAUGUUUCACUCUCCUAAAAUAACAAAGUUGUUGACAAUAUAUUUGGUUUAGGGAGAGGAGGGACCUAUUUCUAUACUCUUUUAGACAAAUCAAAACACCACAUUUGUGCAGAUAUCUAUUUUAUCUGCACCCGGAAGAGUUUUCCACUGGUAAUGCCUGUUGCACAUGCUCUACUUUGUUGUGCUAGGUAUAGGUGCAUAAGAAUUAAGCAUAGAUAUACCUACAAUGAGCCCUCCACUCCAGGAGAGGAAAACAAACAAACAAGAAAACCCUUAAUUAAAAGAAAUCACAAAAGCAGAAUUAAACUCAUUAUUUAUGAAAUGAAAGUGAAAAAAGGUAGUAAUGAUAUAUAACAGGAACAUGUAGUAAACAUGCAAAACAUCUAUAAUAUUAAUAUUAUUUAGAGCUUUAGUUAGUCAUACAGAGAUAUGAAUAUGUAUUUAAGGGUUAUGAACUCUGUGGAUAUUGUUAAUGGUCAGCUUCAGUGGGGUGCAUGUCUUAUCACAGGGUAGAGAAUUCUUCAGACCUUGGACUUCUAUUGCCUCUUUCCAUCCUUUUGUAUUAUAUAGGCUCUAGUUAGAAGAGUACUGAGUGAUAUAACAAGUGACUAGAGGGCACUUGUUACAUAAAGAAUUUAAUAACCUGAAUGAUCAAUUUUCAUUCAUGCUUACCCUGCCUGUGACAGUAACCAAAUUGAACUAUAUUCCUACUGCAAAACUUCCUGUGUCUUGUUUUAAGAAUAUUAUUUAUAACAUUGAUUCAUAUCUUUAAUCUUCUGCUGCUCCUUGUAUUUGUUUCUUGCUCAUUUUUUCUUUUUGCUUCUUCCUUUUUCUCUGCAGUCUUCUCUGGUUUUUCACGUUCACCCACAUCAUCUUCAGCUCUCUGACAUUUCAGUCUGUUGAUGCACACAAACAUUCUGCCAAAACAGGUUAGCUAGAAAUAGGGCCAUGGAAAUAAGGCUGUCCUUAGCGACUGCUCCGUUUUCAGCACCGCAUUGUACCAACUGUGAUUGACAGGGGUCAUGCUGUCAAGCCUAAUAGUUCCUAAGUGGUGAUUAAUCGGACUGGUGAUAUCUGGAUGGAAGUUGAUGGACACCUAACUUUCCCCUGCACUAAUGCGUCCUAGGUACAGAUCCUUUACUCUUUCAGAAAUGCCACACUGGAUGAUUUACUAUGGUUUGCUAAUUAUUGUGAUUGUUUGACUGUUCAUUUUGCCUCUACUCACCUCGGUUAUGAGCUCUGCUGAGUCUCACUCUGAGGAACUAUAAAAUGCAGGAGCUGCAUGAAGGCAAGAGGAAUGGAAUGAAAACAUCUGAAAUGCAUCUGUCAAAAGUCUGAUGCUUUGUCUAAAAAGCAUGAAAUGACAACUUAAGUAAUGGAGCUCUAGAAGCAAGUUCUGGACACAUUUGUUUCAAGAAUACAUGAGGAUUUUUUAAGCAAUGUUACUGUCCUAGGCAAUUGCUUUACAUCAUGCUUUUAUUCUUCCUCUUUCAACCUUUGUCUGCUUCAUCCUACCAUAGUCCAACUAUUGAGACCAUAACAAUCCAAACUCUAAUAAUACCCUUCCUUUAUUUGUCUACUUCUGUCUGCAUAUUCCAAAAAGUAAAAGAACAAUUUUGAGAAUUUUAUUAGCCGUAAUCUGUCAUCAUAAAUCACUGUAAAACAUCCUUUAAAUUUGAGUUUAUUGUGUUUAUUUUGUCUGUGGAUACAUUUGGUCCCUCAAAAAAUAUUAAUGGUUUAAAGAGAAUUGGGUAGUCCAGGAUGACAGGUAGCAUACAAAGCUGUUGCACAGCACCAGAAUAUCUGAACAUGCUACAUGGCCAGAUUAUGGAAUAAAGGAGCAUCUGGACCUGGCAUAUGUUCACACUUAAAAAGAAUCUAAGUAACCAUUUAGAAAAAUACUUUCACUGAGAAAUCUCUAGAACGAAACUCAGAAGAUGUGAUGAAGUUUAAAUUUCUCGCACUGCAACAGCCUUGUGGCACACUUUGGGUAUGUUUGUGGUACAGCUUUUGUUAAGAUCAGACAUGUAUUAAAAAAGUGUUUGUGCAAAAAAUGAAUACUCGGAUGAAUUUGAUAGAAAUUUUUCGAUCAAAUGGAGUUGGGCAGGCACUUCAAGAGUGCACAUAAAGCAAUUCAACUUGUAGUUGGCUUCAGUCCCUGGUUCUCUGAGACAUGUAGGCCACCUUAGAUUUAUUCAUUGCUGAUCUUCUCUUUUUGAUCUUCCAUCAUUCCCAUGAGGAGUUCACUAUCCAUUACCUGACCAGUGUGCAAGAAUAGUUCAACAUGGAGCAGGAGCAGAGCAAAGACUCUGUGAUGAAGGUUGCACUAAUAGGAAACUUGAGCAAGAAGUGUAUUAAAUGAAAAUCUAGAAACAUCUCCUCAGGAAUACAAUUUACCAGACUCGCUUCAAAGGCCAGAGAAUUCAAUGAGUUUUGAAAUUUAAAUAUCAUGCUAGCAUCACUCAAGGGCACUUUCUUCCCCUAGAAAUGGUUCCAGGAAUUCACUUAGUGUCAGACAUUCCUCACCAGCUCUUUUCACCUACAAACCCACACCUCUCACGUUGCACUCCUUAUAAAUAAAUGCAGACAGCCUUUAACGAUUGUCAUGAUUCAGUUCCUCAGCUGUAAGCUAAUGGUAAUAGUUCUCUGAUUGACUGAGUUUUGUAAGGCUGUGGUCAUUGACGUUUGUGACGCGCAUAACAACUAGGUAGGCAAAGCUUUUCAAAAGCUAAAUAGAAUAGCCCAUGAUAACAGUGGCAAUGAUGCAGGUUUGUUGCUUUUUUAAAAAGAACUGUAUUCUGCUAUUCUAUUUUAACUGCGGAUUACUGUAGUACAACGGCAUACUUUAUGAUUUAUGUGAAAUCUUGAGCUUAGCUGCUUAAUGCUUUUUGGAAAUUUGCAGUAUUCAUUGCUCAAGUUGUACUACCAAGAAUAUAUACUUGAGGACUCCAAGGACUGGAUUUCAUCAGCAGAAAUAUACAUAGAAAAUUAAAACAAUUGGCAGACAACUGUAUUGUUCGUGUAUAGGGCAUGAUUGCUGGAAAAGGCAUAAUCAGAAAAUACUGCAAGAAAAUGAAGAGAUGCCAGAGAAAUAACUCUAAGAUCAUGCACCUAUUUACAAGUAAAGUAUUUAAGGGCAAAUGCUUUUAUGAAUGAAAUAUCUAAAUGUUACUUAGGUUUUGAUUUCACUACAUUUUGGCUGAAUAGAUAAACAGUUACUUUAUAUUCUUAUUAGGUCAUAGAGAAUAAUAGCCUUACUAGUUAAAAAAUCUGUAUUCUUCACAUACUAAAUGACAUUUCAGUCUUUCAAGCUUAUUAAGAAGUGUUUGUCAUGUUCUUUUUCACUUUGUGGUCUCAGUAUUCUAUUCAAUAGAAAGGUGUUUACAGCAGACCUACAGCAGACCUGAUGUAUGUCAAAGAUGUGGUAGAAGACUGAGAGUUGAAGAAUAUUUUAAGGUAUAACCAUCUCUACAUUUCUACAGAGGAUUCUCCUUCCAGACUUCAGCUACUGAGGAAUAAAUGACAAUGUGCUGUGACCUUUUAUACUAA